rnacentral:rRNA from 1 species
UAGCGUAUAUUAAAGUUGUUGCAGUUAAAAAGCUCGUAGUUGAAUUUCGGGGUCAGUAGGUCGGUCGUGCCACUGGUAUGAACUGGUUUUACUGAUUCCUCCCUCUUGAAGAACUGUAAUGCCAUUAAUUUGGUGUUGCAGGGAAUCAGGACUGUUACUUUGAAAAAAUUAGAGUGUUUAAAGCAGGCAC